AUUGAACGCUGGCGGCAUGCCUUACACAUGCAAGUCGAACGGCAGCAUGAUCUAGCUUGCUAGAUUGAUGGCGAGUGGCGAACGGGUGAGUAAUACAUCGGAACGUGCCCUGUAGUGGGGGAUAACUAGUCGAAAGAUUAGCUAAUACCGCAUACGACCUGAGGGUGAAAGUGGGGGACCGCAAGGCCUCAUGCUAUAGGAGCGGCCGAUGUCUGAUUAGCUAGUUGGUGAGGUAAAGGCUCACCAAGGCGACGAUCAGUAGCUGGUCUGAGAGGACGAUCAGCCACACUGGGACUGAGACACGGCCCAGACUCCUACGGGAGGCAGCAGUGGGGAAUUUUGGACAAUGGGCGAAAGCCUGAUCCAGCAAUGCCGCGUGUGUGAAGAAGGCCUUCGGGUUGUAAAGCACUUUUGUCCGGAAAGAAAUGGCUCUGGUUAAUACCUGGGGUCGAUGACGUACCGGAAG
rnacentral:rRNA from 1 species